CUCCCAUCUGAGUAAAGGAAGAUAUGUAUAUCCUCUUAUCUAAGUGUAGGCAGGUAAUUUAUGUUUGAGAUGCCCACUGGGAAAACAGUGGGCAUGAGAUCUAAGUGUCUUCCAAGAUUAUCAUUUGUAGUGUCCUCCAAUCAUAGUAUGGGCAGGUCAAUUAUGUUUGUAUUACAUUUAGACAUUUAUUUUGUUAUCUUAUAUUACACCAUCUUAUAGGCUUGGUUUUAGGUUUCCUCGCUGAAUAAACUUCUUUCUUUUCUACCGUCUAAGUAAAAUAAAAAUAUUACUGUACUUUUUUGGAAAUUAUUGAGAACACUAUCUGCUGUGCAUGCUCUUCAAUAGGUAUGCACAGGCUUUGUCCUCCACUCCACAAGUGUAAGGGGGGUGGUAUUAUGUUUGGCAAUGCCAUCACCAGCAAUUGCAUGCUCUUUGAUAGAUUUGCUGAGGCAAAGUCAUCCGAUCAAAGUAUAUCGAUGACAAAUGUAUAUUGCUCGAGGACAUUACUUGCGAAUGUUUCUUUAAAAGGGAUCCAACAGGGAACAUCCGGUUUGUAAAGGCAUUCUAAUCAAUAACACUAUUGCAACAGCAUCAUGUGAUGGGCCAUUUGAGGAAACAUCACAUGACUGAAAUGUUUAGAAACCAAUAUGGAAAAAUCAUACUCCGGAGGUUGGAACAACAACAAGGUUUCUCAUUAUGAUAUUGUAUAACAAAUAGCAAACAUGACACGUUUUGAGUACUAAUUAACCCUUUCCCACUAAAAACCAAAGUGGUAAUAGAAAUAUGCAACCGGCAAAAAAACUGUCUGUUUAGGUUUAAUGCUGUCUGGUGCCCAUCUGUCAAAUUGCGUAUCUAAGUGGUAGAUGGUUAAACAAUACAUACUUGUAUUUAUAGGUUUAAGUACCUUUAAUGUUUUUAUUGGUUUAAGUACCUUUUAACAAUGUCUUACCUAUAUUUAUGGGAUGCGGCCAGCAGCAUCAAUCGUUCCCCGAUAUGUGGACAGGCUUUCUUGGUACGAUUUUUAUCACUCUCGAUGAACUCCUUCAAUGCAAAUAGUAUCAGGAUAGGUUUCCAAUGCCCAUAGAAAGAGACGAUGCAAUGCGAAGUAACCAUUGAGACUGUUAUCGCUCGUAUGCUGCGUUCCUUUGCUGAAUUCCACCACCGUGGCGCUCAUAAGGUUUGGGAUGGUCUUGAUCACCAUUUCUUCAAUCGGGGUUUUGUUCGCCUUGCACUUCGGCAUGAUCGCUGCGAUGUCUUUGGUAAGCACGUCUUCAAACGUCGCCUGGAUUUUAUUUAAAACAUAUUUAUUAGAUCAUACACAUAAUAAAUAACAAUCACAUGCAUAUCAAACAAUGAUAUAACCGUUCAUAUAUUAGAAGACAACCAUCUACAAUGCAUUUAUGAGUGCUGUUCCAUGCUGGAGUUACUGAGAGGAAAAUUCUAUAUGAAUCAAACCUUGAUUUCUUCCCCAUGCUUCUGGUGGAUGUAUAACGGUAGAAAAAACUUCAGUUCCUCUUUAAGAACGCUGUGGACUGUACCCACAGCUUUUUUCAUGCUGUUAAAUGAAUCAAAUUUCAGGAACUCGCAGGGGGUAGUCAAAGCGGGUCGGUGAGUUGGACCAGAAACUAUCAAUCCGUAGCCAUACAAGUCUUCUAUGCCCUUAGGUUUCUCGACUUUAAGAGGCUCCUUUGACAUAUAGUCUACGAUCUGCGGACCUUAGUAUAAGAGGGAUGUAUUUAGUAUAUGAAUUACAUUUAGCCUAAGAAAGAUAAUAGUGUAUUAAGUAUGAGGAUUAUAAUGUAUUUAGUACAAAAAACUAAUAUUUUAUUUAGUAUUAUAAGGAUACUAUUGUUUUUAGUAUAAGAAGAUUAUUAUUGCAUUACAUAUAAAAAGGAUAACAUGGUAUUAAUUAUAUGAAGGAUAUUAUCACAUUGAACAUAAGAAAGAUAUAAUUAAGAAAUAAUAUUGUAUGUUUAGUACAAGGAUGGUAUUGUAUUUAGUAUAAGAAGGGCCAUAUUGUAUUUAGUUUAAUACGGCUAUUAUUGUAAUUAGUAUAAGAAGGAUAGUAUUGAAUUUAUAAUAAGUAUGAUACUAUGGAAUUUAGUAAUAAGUAUACAUAGGAUAAUAUUGUAUGAUAAGAAUGAUAACAUUUUUUAGUUUAUACAUAUUUAUUUCUGUUGGAAAUACACUGUUCAUCAAUCAUGCACAAUACAAUGAUUAAAAGAAAAGGUUUGAAACCAAAGAAUUAA